UCCUCAGUAGCUCAGUGGUAGAGCGGUCGGUUGUUAACCGAUUGGUCAUACGUUCGAAUCCUACUUAGGGCG
rnacentral:tRNA from 1 species